AAAGCUUUAAGUUAAAUAAACUAUUAACCUUCAAAGUUAAAAAAGUAUAAUUAUGAUACAAGCUUUA
rnacentral:tRNA from 1 species